UCCACUGGCUGCUGCUUGAUCCUUCCCUGUGCACACUCUGAGGCUCCUGGCAAGUAGAUGUCAGGGCUGCUUGGAAGCAGAAUCCACAACUGGCCCAUUAUGCAGGACCCAAGGAGUUGCCACCUCCAACCUCUUCUGGGCAGGGACUCCAGGGACUCUGAUUCAAAGGAAUCAACUGCACAACCAGGAAGCCCCCAUUUCCAGAGAACAGGUUUGUGCGACUGAACCUUGGUGAGGUGCUCUGCCUUCCUGUGCCCCAGUCUGCCCCUCUGUAAGUAUCAAGCGUGGGACAGUGAUAACCAUUAGCAUCUUGGAAAGAGAAUUUUUCCAUGAACACCUCUGUGUAAAUCAAAUCAAGAAAUGUCAGGCAAGUUAUGAAAAAUGUUUGAUUAUUUUGAACUUCAGGUGUUCCUUUUGAAAAUCUCAAUUUUAGAUAACUGGAACCUCUGGAAAUAAAUGAAA